rnacentral:tRNA from 1 species
AUAAGCUGAUGAUAAUAUUGACUAAAAAAUAUUUAUUACCACUAAUAACAACCCCCUCCUAAGGGGCAGGUCACAGGUUCAAAUCCUGUUGGGAGCGCCA